rnacentral:sRNA from 1 species
GCCGGGCGCGGUGGCUCACGCCUGUAAUCCCAGCACUUUGGGAGGCUGAGGCAGGUGGAUCACCUGAGGUCAGGAGUUCGAGACCAGCCUGACCAACAUGGUGAAACCCCGUCUCUA